CAGCCAUGCAGCUGCCUACUCUGCUGCUUCUCUGUCUUUUGGCAUGGUCCAGGGGUGCCCACACUCACCAGGCAGAGGGCGAGCCAUCAGAAAACUUCCAAGAGUUGCCUGCCGGUUACCUGGACUCACAAAUGGAUGAGAAUCCUAUGUUACAACCUAUCUCUGAUGAAAAAGCUGCCCUGAAUGUUUUGCUGAGAACAAUUCUACACAAUAGACCGGCUCGGAGCUCUUUCCAGUUUCAGCCUCAGAGGUUUGGAAGAGAUGAACGGAGCUCAGUGGUGGGUGACAGCAGACUCCAUUCACGGGGUUGGGACUCUAUGGCACCACAGUUCUGGAGCAUGGCCGUGCCCCAGCGAUUUGGAAAAAAGAAGUGAACAUUUUCUUCUCCGGAACCCAACCAGCUGCUGAACAUUCCCUGCUUGGCCUGGAGAGACCGCAGUGUCUAACAAUCCGAUAAGCAACACAAGGAAGGCUCAUUGUCACAUACAUCCACAAUACCAUGCUAACCCAUUUACAGUCAAACAUUUUGUAAAUAUAUAUUUAUAUACAUAUAUGUGACUCGUUUAAACACUCACAUCUCCCCUAGAAUAUAGCUUACCCUGUGUGAUAUAACAAAAGCUGCUUUCCCUGCAGUAAAACUUUAUGUAUAUACGCCUUUAAUGUGUAUGAAUGAUAAGUUCUCCUGCUGACUCAUUAAUAAAAUUCUUUAUUGUUUUGA